GGGGUUGUGGCUCAGUGGUAGAUCGCUCACCUAGCAAGUGCAAGGACCUGGGAUGGAUCCUCAGCACCACA
rnacentral:tRNA from 1 species